rnacentral:tRNA from 1 species
GGGGUUGUGGCUCAGUGGUAGAGUGCUCGCCUAGCAUGUGUGAGGCCCUGGGUUCGAUCCUCAGUACCACA